GGAGCGGGUUGGACCGUCGCUGGUAGUCGGUGUGGCUGAUGUUGGCUGGACCGGGUACGGGAGGAAAGUCCGGGCUCCGCAGGGCAGGGUGCCGGGUAACACCCGGCGGGGGCAACCCCAGGGAAAGUGCCACAGAGAGCAGACCGCCGGCCAGGAAGCCAUUUCCGCCGGCAAGGGUGAAAGGGUGCGGUAAGAGCGCACCGCGCCAUCCGGUAACGGAAGGCGGCACGGAAAACCCCACCUGGAGCAAGACCAAAUAGGGGGAGACCAUGGGUGGCCCAUCCACUCCCCGGGUCGGUCGCUGGAGGUGGUCGGUAACGACCAUCGUAGAGGAAUGACGGUCAUACCGGUCGUGACGGGGAGCGCGACCGGGAGACAAAACCCGGCUUACAGACCCGCUCCAAAU
rnacentral:RNase_P_RNA from 1 species